rnacentral:rRNA from 1 species
UUUAAUUUAUGUACAUUAAGGCAGGUAUUAUGACGUAGCAUGAAAUUUAGCAUCAGUCUAAGAAGACUAACGCUAAAACUCCUUUCGAAAACGAAGAACACUAUAAUUAAUGAUCAAUUACGGAGAAACUCUGUUUGAUGAUUUGGUUUAAUUAAUAGACUGGUGAGGAAAUGAAUCAUCUAAAUACUAGAAAGAAUAAAUCAAACGAGAUAUCAUGAGUAGCGGCGAGCGAAAACGAACUAUUUUAAAAAUAAUUAAUUGAAGAUAGGUGGUCACACAUCUAAAAAUAUAAAACCAUUAACCCUCACUGAAAUGAGGUCGUGAGGCUGAAGAAAAAUAAGUUACUAAUAGCUGUUGUAAUUCAACGUACCUUUUGUAUAAUGGGUUCGCAAGAUGAUGUUUAGCAAACUAAAAAACAGGUAAAGUGAAAACGAGUGAUAGCUUUAGUUAAACAACCCGAAAACAAGUGAUCUAAUCAUGAACCGUUAAUAGAACAAACUAAUGGUUGUAGCAAAAACCUUAGAAGAUUUGUGAUUAGAGGUGAAAUAUCAACCGAACUUGUCUAUAGCUGGUUUUCUGCGAAAAUUAUAUAAGUAAUGCGAUUUAUUAUUCUUAUUUGAUUAGAUUAAAAUGUAAUAUCAGAAUAAAAAAGAAUUUGAAAAGCAGUAGGACUCUGGGCGACAAGGUCCAGGGUCAAAAAGGAAAAGCCUUAAUCAGAAGUUAAAGUCAUUAAUAAGUGUGACUUUAAAGAGAUAUAAAGCAGAUCAUAAGGAAGUAGGCUUAGAAACAGCCUCCUUAAUUAACAACGUAAAAGUUUACUUGAAAAGUCAAUUGUCUCUAGAAUUUUAGUGUCUUAAGAAAACUAAAACUCUGGCUAAAGUAAUAGGGUAGCAGAACAUACUGUAAGCUGUAGUCAGGACGACAAUGCGAACAUGAGUAAAAAAGCUGUACUUAUUCUCAUGGUUUCAGGUAAUCCAGCCCCUAAAAUUAUAUAGUUGAUGGGUGAGACAAAAACGCAUAUAUGCCAGGAAAACUUUUUUUCAAUGAAAUUGAAUACGAAGAACUGUACCAACUAAGAAAAAGUAAGGGAUAAUUUUUCUUUAGGAACUCGGCAAACAAAUUUAAGAUCAGAAUAAGAAAGUAUCGGCUGUUUACCAAAAACAUAGCCACUUGCUAAAGGAGCCCUAAAGUAUAGGAGGUGAAGCCUGCCCUAUGGUUGUACCUGAAAUAAUAACAAAGCAGUUAUUUAUAAAGACAAUUUAAUGGCCGCGGUAUACCUGACUGUGAAAAUGUAGCGCAAUCAAUCGUCAAUUAAUUGUUGACAAGUAUGAAUGGCGUCACGAGUGCUUGACUGUCUUAAGAAAAAACCCAGUGAAAUUGAAUUCGUAGUUAAGAUGCUACGUAAUUUUGUAAGACGAAAAGACCCUAUUAAGCUUUACUGGAUGCUUAUGUUGUCUUAAUAAAUAGAUAUAAUGAAUGGUUAAUGCAUAUUAAAUAAGAUAAUUAAUAUAGUUAAUAAAGAAGAAAUAGUAAUAUUCUUAUUCAGUAUAUUUAAUCCUUUAUAUCAAUAUAAAUGAAAGACUAUUUCUCCACUUAAGAAUGGAUUAGUAUGUUAGACAGUUUGGUUGGGGCGACCCCCUUAAAAAGGAUAACUGAGGGGCACUAAGGUAAUAAAGAAAGAGCUUGACUGUAAGAGGGCCCUCAAACAGACACGAAAGUGGGUAAAUUGACCCGUUAAUAAAAGUGGGAUUGUUAACGAUAAACAAAUAAAAGUUACUAUAGGGAUAACAGCGUAAUAUUGUUAGAGAGUUCACAUUAACAACAAUGUUUGCGACCUCGAUGUUGAAUUGCGGCAUCCUGAGGGUGCAGAAGCUCUUAAAGGUUAGUCUGUUCGACUAUGAAAGCCGUACAUGAUUUGAGUUCAGAGCGUGGUAACACAGUUCGGUUCCUAUCUACAACAAACAAAUUAUAAUUAUUUUUUAGUACGAAAGGAAUUAAAAUAAAAAUCCUAUGAUUUAUGUCACGAUUUAUAGUAACGUCUGACGGCUUUUUAAGUAUGAAUUAUAUUUGUACACGUUUUUAAUCGUUUAAGAGGAC